AUGGCCAAAAAUCACAGCCGUGAGCAUUGCUGACAAGACCAGCAUUGCCCAUCCUUAAUGCCCUGCAGAGAUACCAUCUUGAACCGUGACAGUCGAUCUGGUGAAAGUAUCCCCACCGUGCCAUUGGCUGGUGUUUGUACCACACAGUUAUUUGGAACACUUUCCAACACCAUUGCAUCUGUUAUGAUAUUGGAUCAUUGGAAUCUUAUAUAUAUUGAAUGGACGGAAUUGCAACUAAGUUAGCAAGUUACAACUAAGGUUUUAUAUUUAUUGCCAAAAACUUUCCACCAAACUGAACUCAACA